rnacentral:rRNA from 1 species
ACGCUGGCGGCAGGCCUAACACAUGCAAGUCGAGCCGCACCCUUCGGGGUGAGCGGCGGACGGGUGAGUAACGCGUGGGAAUGUGCCCAAAGGUACGGAAUAGCCUCUGGAAACGGAGAGUAAUACCGUAUGUGCCCUACGGGGGAAAGAUUUAUCGCCUUUGGAUCGGCCCGCGUUGGAUUAGGUAGUUGGUGGGGUAAAAGCCUACCAAGCCGACGAUCCAUAGCUGGUUUGAGAGGAUGAUCAGCCACACUGGGACUGAGACACGGCCCANACUCCUACGGGAGGCAGCAGUGGGGAAUCUUAGACAAUGGGGGAAACCCUGAUCUAGCCAUGCCGCGUGAGUGACGAAGGCCCUAGGGUCGUAAAGCUCUUUCGCUGGGGAAGAUAAUGACGGUACCCAGUAAAGAAACCCCGGCUAACUCCGUGCCAGCAGCCGCGGUAAU